UACAGAGGUCUCAAGCGUUGUUCGGAUUCAUUGGGCGUAAAGGGCGCGUAGGCGGCGCGGUAAGUCGGGUGUGAAAUCUCGGAGCUUAACUCCGAAACUGCAUUCGAUACUGCCGUGCUUGAGGACUGGAGAGGAGACUGGAAUUUACGGUGUAGCGGUGAAAUGCGUAGAUAUCGUAAGGAAGACCAGUGGCGAAGGCGGGUCUCUGGGCAGUUCCUGACGCUGAGGCACGAAGGUCAGGGGAGCAAACGGG
rnacentral:rRNA from 1 species